rnacentral:rRNA from 1 species
GAUGAACGCUAGCGGCAGGCCUAACACAUGCAAGUCGAGGGGCAGCACGAUAAAGCUUGCUUUAUUGGUGGCGACCGGCGCACGGGUGCGUAACGCGUAUGCAACCUACCUUGUACUGGGGGAUAGCCCGGAGAAAUUCGGAUUAACCCCCCAUAGUAUUAUUAGAUCGCAUGGUUUGAUAAUUAAAGGUUACGGUACAAGAUGGGCAUGCGUCCCAUUAGCUAGAUGGUGAGGUAACGGCUCACCAUGGCGACGAUGGGUAGGGGCCUGAGAGGGUGGUCCCCCCACACUGGUACUGAGACACGGACCAGACUCCUACGGGAGGCAGCAGUGAGGAAUAUUGGUCAAUGGGCGCAAGCCUGAACCAGCCAUGCCGCGUGCAGGAAGACGGUCCUAUGGAUUGUAAACUGCUUUUAUUGGGAAUAAACCUCUUUACGUGUAGAGUAGCUAGAAGGUACCAAUGAAUAAGCACCGGCUAACUCCGUGCCAGCAGCCGCGGUAAU